AUGAACGCUGGCGGCGUGCCUAAUUCAUGCAAGUCGAGCGAACGGACGAGAAGCUUGCUUCUCUGAUGUUAGCGGCGGACGGGUGAGUAACUCGUGGAUAACCUACCUAUAAGACUGGGAUAACUUCGGGAAACCGGAGCUAAUACCGGAUAAUAUUUUGAACCGCAUGGUUCAAAAGUGAAAGACGGUCUUGCUGUCACUUAUAGAUGGAUCCGCGCUGCAUUAGCUAGUUGGUAAGGUAACGGCUUACCAAGGCAACGAUGCAUAGCCGACCUGAGAGGGUGAUCGGCCACACUGGAACUGAGACACGGUCCAGACUCCUACGGGAGGCAGCAGUAGGGAAUCUUCCGCAAUGGGCGAAAGCCUGACGGAGCAACGCCGCGUGAGUGAUGAAGGUCUUCGGAUCGUAAAACUCUGUUAUUAGGGAAGAACAUAUGUGUAAGUAACUGUGCACAUCUUGACGGUACCUAAUCAGAAAGCCACGGCUAACUACGUG
rnacentral:rRNA from 1 species